UUGGUUAAGUUAGAAAGGGCGCACGGUGGAUGCCUUGGCACUAGGAGCCGAAGAAGGACGGGACUAACACCGAUAUGCUUUGGGGAGCUGUACGUAAGCGUUGAUCCAGAGAUUUCCGAAUGGGGGAACCCACUAUCUUUAGUCGGAUAGUAUCCUUACGUGAAUACAUAGCGUGAGGAAGGCAGACCCAGGGAACUGAAACAUCUAAGUACCUGGAGGAAGAGAAAGAAAAAUCGAUUUCCUGAGUAGCGGCGAGCGAAACGGAAAGAGCCCAAACCAAGAAGCUUGCUUCUUGGGGUUGUAGGACACUCUAUACGGAGUUACAAAAGAAAGUUAUAAAUGAAGCGGUCUGGAAAGGCCCGCCAAAGACGGUAACAGCCCGGUAGUUGAAAUAGCUUUCCCUCCAGAGUGGAUCCUGAGUACGGCGGAACACGUGAAAUUCCGUCGGAAUCCGGGAGGACCAUCUCCCAAGGCUAAAUACUCCCUAGUGACCGAUAGUGAACCAGUACCGUGAGGGAAAGGUGAAAAGCACCCCGGAAGGGGAGUGAAACAGUUCCUGAAACCGUGUGCCUACAAGUAGUUAGAGCCCGUUAAUGGGUGAUAGCGUGCCUUUUGUAGAAUGAACCGGCGAGUUACGAUUUGUUGCAAGGUUAAGCGGAAAAAGCGGAGCCGUAGCGAAAGCGAGUCUGAAUAGGGCGCAUAAGUAACAGGUCGUAGACCCGAAACCAGGUGAUCUACCCAUGUCCAGGAUGAAGGUAAGGUAAUACUUACUGGAGGUCCGAACCCACGCACGUUGAAAAGUGCGGGGAUGAGGUGUGGGUAGCGGAGAAAUUCCAAUCGAACUUGGAGAUAGCUGGUUCUCUCCGAAAUAGCUUUAGGGCUAGCCUCGAGGUAAAGAGUCAUGGAGGUAGAGCACUGUUUGGACUAGGGGCCCUUCUCGGGUUACCGAAUUCAGAUAAACUCCGAAUGCCAUGUACUUAUACUCGGGAGUCAGACUGCGAGUGAUAAGAUCCGUAGUCGAAAGGGAAACAGCCCAGACCACCAGUUAAGGUCCCCAAAUAUAUGUUAAGUGGAAAAGGAUGUGGGGUUGCUUAGACAACCAGGAUGUUGGCUUAGAAGCAGCCACCAUUGAAAGAGUGCGUAAUAGCUCACUGGUCGAGUGACCCCGCGCCGAAAAUGUACCGGGGCUAAACAUAUUACCGAAACUGUGGAUGAACCUCUUUAGAGGUUCGUGGUAGGAGAGCGUUCUAAGGGCGGUGAAGUCAGACCGGAAGGACUGGUGGAGCGCUUAGAAGUGAGAAUGCCGGUAUGAGUAGCGAAAGAAGGGUGAGAAUCCCUUCCACCGAAUAUCUAAGGUUUCCUGAGGAAGGCUCGUCCGCUUAGGGUUAGUCGGGACCUAAGCCGAGGCCGAUAGGCGUAGGCGAUGGACAACAGGUAGAGAUUCCUGUACCAGUGCUAAUUGUUUAACCGAUGGGGUGACACAGAAGGAUAGGGAAUCGCACGAAUGGAAAUGUGCGUCCAAGCAGUGAGUGUGAGAAGUAGGCAAAUCCGCUUCUCGCGAAGCAUGAGCUGUGAUGGGGAAGGAAAUUAAGUACGGAAGUUCCUGAUUUCACGCUGUCAAGAAAAGCCUCUAGGAAGAGUAGUACUGCCCGUACCGCAAACCGACACAGGUAGAUGAGGAGAGAAUCCUAAGGUGAGCGAGAGAACUCUCGUUAAGGAACUCGGCAAAAUGACCCCGUAACUUCGGGAGAAGGGGUGCUCUAUUAGGGUGCAAGCCCGAGAGAGCCGCAGUGAAUAGGCCCAGGCGACUGUUUAGCAAAAACACAGGUCUCUGCAAAACCGUAAGGUGACGUAUAGGGGCUGACGCCUGCCCGGUGCUGGAAGGUUAAGAGGAGUGCUUAGCUUCGGCGAAGGUACGAAUUGAAGCCCCAGUAAACGGCGGCCGUAACUAUAACGGUCCUAAGGUAGCGAAAUUCCUUGUCGGGUAAGUUCCGACCCGCACGAAAGGCGCAACGAUCUGGGCACUGUCUCAACGAGAGACUCGGUGAAAUUAUAGUACCUGUGAAGAUGCAGGUUACCCGCGACAGGACGGAAAGACCCCGUGGAGCUUUACUGCAACCUGAUAUGGAAUGUUUGUACCGCUUGUACAGGAUAGGUAGGAGCCGAAGAGACGUGUGCGCUAGCAUACGAGGAGGCAAUGGUGGGAUACUACCCUGGCUGUAUGACCAUUCUAACCCGCCACGCUUAGCGCGUGGGGAGACAGUGUCAGGUGGGCAGUUUGACUGGGGCGGUCGCCUCCUAAAGAGUAACGGAGGCGCCCAAAGGUUCCCUCAGAAUGGAUGGAAAUCAUUCGCAGAGUGUAAAGGCACAAGGGAGCUUGACUGCGAGACUGACAAGUCGAGCAGGGACGAAAGUCGGGCUUAGUGAUCCGGUGGNGGAGGCGCCCAAAGGUUCCCUCAGAAUGGAUGGAAAUCAUUCGCAGAGUGUAAAGGCACAAGGGAGCUUGACUGCGAGACUGACAAGUCGAGCAGGGACGAAAGUCGGGCUUAGUGAUCCGGUGGUUCCGCAUGGAAGGGCCAUCGCUCAACGGAUAAAAGCUACCCCGGGGAUAACAGGCUUAUCUCCCCCAAGAGUCCACAUCGACGGGGAGGUUUGGCACCUCGAUGUCGGCUCGUCGCAUCCUGGGGCUGUAGUCGGUCCCAAGGGUUGGGCUGUUCGCCCAUUAAAGCGGCACGCGAGCUGGGUUCAGAACGUCGUGAGACAGUUCGGUCCCUAUCCGUCGCGGGCGCAGGAAAUUUGAGAGGAGCUGUCCUUAGUACGAGAGGACCGGGAUGGACACACCGCUGGUGUACCAGUUGUUCCGCCAGGAGCAUCGCUGGGUAGCUAUGUGUGGCAGGGAUAAACGCUGAAAGCAUCUAAGCGUGAAGCCCCCCUCAAGAUGAGAUUUCCCAUUUCUUCGGAAAGUAAGAUCCCUGAAAGAUGAUCAGGUAGAUAGGUUUGGAGUGGAAGUGUAGCGAUACAUGGAGCGGACAAAUACUAAUCGAUCGAGGACUUAACCAAAA
rnacentral:rRNA from 1 species